rnacentral:rRNA from 1 species
UACGAAGGGGGCUAGCGUUGCUCGGAAUGACUGGGCGUAAAGGGCGCGUAGGCGGUUCAUACAGUCAGAUGUGAAAUUCCUGGGCUCAACCUGGGGGCUGCAUUUGAUACGUGUGGACUAGAGUGGGGAAGAGGGUCGUGGAAUUCCCAGUGUAGAGGUGAAAUUCGUAGAUAUUGGGAAGAACACCGGUGGCGAAGGCGGCGACCUGGUCCUUUUACUGACGCUGAGGCGCGAAAGCGUGGGGAGCAAACAGG